AUUGAACGCUAGCGGGAUGCUUUACACAUGCAAGUCGAACGGCAGCGCGGACUUCGGUCUGGCGGCGAGUGGCGAACGGGUGAGUAAUGUAUCGGAACGUGCCCAGUAGCGGGGGAUAACUACGCGAAAGCGUAGCUAAUACCGCAUACGCCCUACGGGGGAAAGCAGGGGAUCGUAAGACCUUGCACUAUUGGAGCGGCCGAUAUCGGAUUAGCUAGUUGGUGAGGUAACGGCUCACCAAAGCGACGAUCCGUAGCUGGUUUGAGAGGACGACCAGCCACACUGGGACUGAGACACGGCCCAGACUCCUACGGGAGGCAGCAGUGGGGAAUUUUGGACAAUGGGGGCAACCCUGAUCCAGCCAUCCCGCGUGUGCGAUGAAGGCCUUCGGGUUGUAAAGCACUUUUGGCAGGAAAGAAACGUAGCGGGCUAAUACCCCGUGGAACUGACGGUACCUGCAGAAUAAGCACCGGCUAACUACGUG
rnacentral:rRNA from 1 species